GACGAACGCUGGCGGCGUGCUUAACACAUGCAAGUCGAACGGAAAGGCCCUGCUUUUGUGGGGUGCUCGAGUGGCGAACGGGUGAGUAACACGUGAGUAACCUGCCCUUGACUUUGGGAUAACUUCAGGAAACUGGGGCUAAUACCGGAUAGGAGCUCCUGCUGCAUGGUGGGGGUUGGAAAGUUUCGGCGGUUGGGGAUGGACUCGCGGCUUAUCAGCUUGUUGGUGGGGUAGUGGCUUACCAAGGCGUUGACGGGUAGCCGGCCUGAGAGGGUGACCGGCCACAUUGGGACUGAGAUACGGCCCAGACUCCUACGGGAGGCAGCAGUGGGGAAUAUUGCACAAUGGGCGGAAGCCUGAUGCAGCAACGCCGCGUGCGGGAUGACGGCCGUCGGGUUGUAAACCGCUUUCGCCUGUGACGAAGCGUGAGUGACGGUAAUGGGUAAAGAAGCACCGGCUAACUACGUG
rnacentral:rRNA from 1 species